rnacentral:rRNA from 1 species
UACGGAGGGUGCGAGCGUUGUCCGGAAUCACUGGGCGUAAAGGGCGCGUAGGUGGCGCGAGGAGUCUGUGGUGAAAGCCCGAGGCUCAACUUCGGGUCGGCCGCGGACUACUCUCGUGCUGGAGGGUGGUAGAGGCCAAUCGGAAUUCCGGGUGUAGCGGUGGAAUGCGUAGAGAUCCGGAAGAACACCGGUGGCGAAGGCGGUUGGCUGGGCCACACCUGACACUGAGGCGCGACAGCGUGGGGAGCAACAGG